AACGAACGCUGGCGGCGUGCCUAACACAUGCAAGUCGAGCGGGAAAGUUCCCUUCGGGGAGCAAGUACAGCGGCGAACGGGUGAGUAACACGUAGGUAACCUACCCUGGAGACUGGGAUAACUCGCCGAAAGGCGGGCUAAUACCAGAUAAGACCACGAGGGCUGCGGCCCAUGUGGGAAAAGGUGGCCUCUACUUGUAAGCUUCCACUCUGGGAUGGGCCUGCGCGCCAUUAGCUAGUUGGUGGGGUAAUGGCCUACCAAGGCUUAGAUGGCUAGCUGGUCUGAGAGGAUGACCAGCCACACUGGGACUGAGACACGGCCCAGACUCCUACGGGAGGCAGCAGUGGGGAAUAUUGCGCAAUGGGCGAAAGCCUGACGCAGCGACGCCGCGUGGGUGAUGAAGGCCUUCGGGUCGUAAAGCCCUGUCAAGGGGGACGAAACCUCGCCGACCUAAUAUGUCGGCGACUUGACGGUACCUCUGAAGGAAGCACCGGCUAACUCCGUGCCAGCCGCCGCGGUAACAC
rnacentral:rRNA from 1 species